ensembl:lncRNA
GAGUGGCUGAGCAGUCAACACACAUGGCAGAACUCCUUUCACAUUUGAUACUGAUACAAUACACAAUGGUGAAAAUUAAUAAACCAUCAGCAGUCUACCAAUUAAAAGCUGGACCAUCAGUGGAGAAGCAAGAAAAGCCAGCAAAAUAUGUAGCCUGAACUCAUUUUAAGAAGAAAGGUAUUUCCAUUGUUCAACAGUUUCACUGCUAAAAAAAUAUUGUGAAUCUUACACUGAUUUGGUCUGACUUCCAUUGACUUCGACUUUGUAUCAAUUAUACUGAAGAAUACUUUCAAUGACAACGAAUCCAAACAACUGCUUUUUUUGUCUGAUUACAAGACUGUUGGCCUUCUGGAAAGGGAGAAAAGUGGGGAACAUUUCGGAGUCUGGCUUACAGCUCAGGGGAGGAAGCUGGCUGCUGCAGACAGUCUCCCAGGAAACAGCCCGUCUUGUCUUCAGAGGAGUAUCUGGAGGCUUUCUGCACUCAGCGGCCUGUUGAAAUUCUCUAAAAGGGCUGGAUGAGCUCCUUACAAGUGACAUAGUCUUCUUUCUUUGGGAUGUGAGGAAUUUAAGCUCUUCAGAGUCAUGCUGGAAGAAGAGAGACUCCUUCCUUCUGGUAUUUGGGCUCUCACCCAGUGUAAGAAAUCCGUAAGGGGUGGUGAUUUUGGAGAGGUGGGGCAAAGAGAGGGCAGCUCUUGUUGCUGGGUCGGAAUGAUGUGCUGCUCUCUCUAAGUCUCCAGGGAAAAUUGCUUGGUCCGCAAAGCACAGGGUUCCUCUUCUGUGCAGACUUCCUCCUUUACACAGUGCAUCUUUCCUGAUGUAGGAUUCAGAUUUGCUUCUAGUUGUCCUGCGCUUUUGAACAACUUCAUCAGACAUUUGUCUCUCUGGAGGAUUCUCAAUGGUAUCUUCCUCUGGUUCCUGUUGAAAGGCAAUAUGCUCUAUGUCCAGAGAAGGGAUGAAAAAUUUAGGGAUGCGAUCAGGAGUCAUGACAAUGUUGAAAAUAUCCGUGUUUUUCUGAGCCAUUUUAUCUGCAGAAGUUGGCUUGCUGAUUUUGAAGCUUGUCCAAGUUAGCAAGCUUUCUAUAGCAUUUUUUAUGGAGAGCUGGGAUGUACCACAAGGCACCAUUAUUUCAGCCAGAAGUGCUUUCUUACAAAACACAAUGCUGUCUGCUGAUUGAAUUUGCACAGCACUGAUUGCAGAUGGGGAACUCAUUCCUGCUUAUAAAACAAAGCAAAUGACGUCAUCUGAUAGCUAGAUGUCAUUGGCAUGGUAACCAAAGAUAAGAAGGCUUUUACACUCCUACUUAUAUACUUACAGUCUGAUUCAUGCUGCACCAUUACCUUAAAUAAGCUUAAACAUUUGAUUUAAUGAUUUUAAAAUGCCAGGUUUGGUGCUAGUUUCCUAGCUAUUUUCAGGACAGGAAAAAAAAAAAAAGGCUGCAAAUGUACCUGCAACUUUCAGACUAUUCAUGUUGUGUUAUCUGUGCUAUUGCACAAAAUAGAUUUAGGCUUUUACUUUAUGUGAAGGGCUGUGACACUAAAAUGAUGUGCAAGUAGACAUAAAAAGCAUAGCUCACAUAUGAUUACUUAGUUUAACUUUCAGUAAAUCAUACUAUUUUGUGUAAUUUACAUUGAGGUUGUGAGGGAAAAGGGUAGGAAUUGAGAUAUCAAACAAUUAUUGGUCUAGUAUAUAGUAAUGUAUUUUAAGGAUCUCAAACUGUCUUUCACUGGUGUAUGAUAUUUAAUGUUGAAAAAGUAGGCUCCUCAGUGAAGACUCAGAUUAAAUAUCUAUGAUUAAAGGAUGGACAUCUGCUCAGGUGUAUAAAGAAGUUUGUAACUGAUGUGUCAGUUUCUAGUGGUACUUGUGUUUCAGCACAAGAAAGAUGCAGAGCUCUUGGAGCGGGUCCAGAGGAGGGCCACUAAGAUGAUCAGAGGGCUGGAGCACCUCUCCUAUGAAGAAAGAUUGAGGGAACUGGGUUUCUUUAGCUUGGAGAAGAGAAGGCUCUGGGGAGACCUCAUUGUGGCCUUCCAAUAUUUGAAAGCAACAUAUAAACAGGAGGGGGUACAACUGUUUAUGAGGGUGGAUAGUGAUAGGGCAAGGGGGGUUGGUUUUAAACUGAGAUAGGGGAGGAUUAGGUUAGAUAUUAGGAAGAAGUUUUUCACUCAGAGGGUGGAGAAACACUGAAACAGGUUGCCCAAGGAGGUUAUGGAUGCCCCAUCCUGGGAGGCCUUCAAGGCCAGGCUGGGUACGGCUCUGAACAGCCUGGUCUAGUGGUUGGCAACCCUGCACAUAGCAGGAAGGUUGAAAUUAGAUGGUCUUCGAGGUUUUUUUCAACCCAGGCCAUGCUAUGAUUCUAUUAUUCUUUGAUUCUUAGACUUCUGUGUACCUAUGGUCACUGAGGCAGCUCAUGGCCAGCUCUGAAAACAGAAAGGCUGAUCACUGACUUGGUGCAACAAUACAGUUCAUUUUCCAACUAUUUUUUAAUAUCCUUUCUUGAACGUCACUCCUUUCCUACCUUUGUGAAAGUUGUUCUACCUCACUUUAUAUGCAUGAUUAUCAGGAAAGGUCUGGAGAACACAAAAGAGUGAAUGAACAUCUCUGUAGGAUGAGUAGUUCUAAGUUCUGUUUCUACGUGUUAUCUUUUAAUGUUGGUGACAUUUUGUGAGCUGGUGUUACUGAGCACUUUGAAUGCAUGAAGCAAGUUUCCCUGUGUUACAGAGGGAAAUGUUACAGAGGGAAAUGUACAGAGGGAUGUUACAGCCCAUAAAAUAUAUUUCAAUUUAUUUUAUACAGUAUCUUUUUUUUUCUUUUUUUUUUUUCUUUUUUUUCUCUUCCUGUUAAUGUUCUUGCAGUUCUUAUUUCAAUUUGCUGUGUUUUUGGACUAAAGUUCAGUACUCCGAAUUAAACUACACACUAGUGGUUAGUCAGGAAGGCCAUGAAUUCUUUGAAUUCAGUUGCCUAUGUGUUUUUUUUUCUGACACUGCCUAUAGAUUUUGGUUGAUGUUGUUUCCAGGUUACAUGACCACCCUUCAGAACAGUAUCUUUUCAUGUUGGCUUGUUGAAACAUAGAAUCAUAGAGUCAUAGAAUCGCUAAGGUUGGAAAAGACCCACAGGAUCAUCCAGUCCAACCAUUCGCCCUUCGCCAAUGGUUCUCACUAAAUCAUGUCCCUCAACACAACAUCCAAACGCUCUUUAAACACCACCAGGCUCGGUGACUCCACCACUGCUCCAGGCAGCCCAUUCCAGUGCCUGACCACCCUUUCAGAGAAGUAGUAUUUCCUAACGUCCAGCCUGAACCUUCCCUGGCACAGCUUGAAGCCAUUCCCUCUAGUCCUAUCACUGAAGAUAGAAACGGAAUAUCUUUAGGUGGCAUUCUGGGUCAGAUGGGUAGCCUGUUUGUUGCAAUAACACAAUCCUUUCAAGGAAGGAAUUCUUAUGUAACAAUGACUUGUCCUCACAUACAUAUAGGCACAAAAGAAUUGCAUAUUCAUAGAGAUAAGGAAAAAGAAAUGGAAUGAAAAAAAGAAUAUUGAUUUAAGCUUGCUUAUUUUUGACUUGGAAAAGUCAGCAAUAUUAAAUUAACGGAGCAGGGAUAACAAAAGCAAAGUAUCUUGAAAUCACCGGUAAUAUAAUUCUGAUGCUUCACAGGAAAGAAAAAUAGGGGAAUGAGUACUAAUUGUCAGAAUGAAAUUCCCUCAGGAUUCUGCCAUUUCACAAACCUUCAGUUCUUUCAAUAACGUGCUUGUUUUUAUAGAUAGAAAACUUCUAAAAAAGCAGCCUCUCCGACUGAAUGACACAUCAGAAAAAGAGAAAUGUGCAACAUUGCAUGUCCUUUGAGAACUCUGUAGUGUGAAGUUCACUGUUCUCCAGUAUUACAGUUUUAUAUCUGUUAUGUUUAAUAUGUUAAUGUGUUUAAUAUGUUUAAUUAAAAAAAGAAAAAGAAAAAAAGAAAAAGCUAUGUCAUUAUUGUCUUGAGGGUUCUCUGUUAUUCUCUGUUAUUUGCACUUUAACAUAUUCUGGCUUCAUUUACAGGUAAAAAAAUAUACAUACUGGCAUUUCUAUAAUAUGUCUUUUUAUUUUUUAAUCACAAACAUGCAGUUUAUCAUAAAAAAAUACAGUGCUGUUCAAUAAUUACUCUUAUAUUUGCUAAGGAACGUCUAUUUUUGCUCUAGAGAUUAAUAUAUUUGAGAGCAGUGGCUUAUCUGGACUACUUUUCCAUGAAGAUUGCACAGCUCUUCCUUCAAACAAUUUGAAAGACAAUAAAAUGUAAAUCCUUCUGGAAAACUCUGUGUCAGAAUUGGCUCUCUUUUAUUAGGUAGAAAAAGGAACAUCUCUUAUACCUAACACAAAGAUUAUAUUUGGCUCUCUAUACUUCAAUUUAGGAAACAGUUUAAUGUAAAAUUUUUAUUAUUGUUAUUAUUUUCUCAUUCUUCUCUCUCUCUUAAAAAUCUUGCUUCCCAGAUUCUGAAGUAUGAUUUGUGUUUUUCAUCACAUUUUUAAGCACAAUGGCCUUAAUUUUUGGUGACAAAUGCAUAUGUACAAACACAUAAUACACACUUCUAAUUAUUUAUAUCUAUGAUGCAUUCAUACAUUUAUAAAAAUUGAUUUAUAUGUUUCUGUGUUCAUAUAUUGUAUCAUGU